AUUGAACGCUGGCGGCAGGCCUAACACAUGCAAGUCGAACGAGCGGCGGACGGGUGAGUAAUGUCUGGGAAACUGCCUGAUGGAGGGGGAUAACUACUGGAAACGGUAGCUAAUACCGCAUACCAUCAGAUGUGCCCAGAUGGGAUUAGCUAGUAGGUGGGGUAAUGGCUCACCUAGGCGACGAUCCCUAGCUGGUCUGAGAGGAUGACCAGCCACACUGGAACUGAGACACGGUCCAGACUCCUACGGGAGGCAGCAGUGGGGAAUAUUGCACAAUGGGCGCAAGCCUGAUGCAGCCAUGCCGCGUGUAUGAAGAAGGCCUUCGGGUUGUAAAGUACUGUCAGCGAGGAGGCGUUACCCGCAGAAGAAGCACCGGCUAACUCCGUGCCAGCAGCCGCGGUAAUAC
rnacentral:rRNA from 1 species